rnacentral:rRNA from 1 species
ACGAACGCUGGCGGCGUGCCUAAUACAUGCCAGUCGAGCGGACUGAUUAAGAGCUUGCUCUUAUGACGUUAGCGGCGGACGGGUGAGUAACACGUGGGCAACCUGCCCUGUAGAUCGGGAUAACACCGAGAAAUCGGUGCUAAUACCGGGUAAUAUCUGAGAUCACAUGAUCUUAGGUUAAAAGAUGGCUCCGGCUAUCACUACAGGAUGGGCCCGCGGCGCAUUAGCUAGUUGGUAAGGUAAUGGCUUACCAAGGCGACGAUGCGUAGCCGACCUGAGAGGGUGAUCGGCCACACUGGGACUGAGACACGGCCCAGACUCCUACGGGAGGCAGCAGUAGGGAAUCUUCCGCAAUGGACGAAAGUCUGACGGAGCAACGCCGCGUGAGUGAUGAAGGGUUUCGGCUCGUAAAGCUCUGUUGUUAGGGAAGAAACAGUACCGAACGAACUAGGUCGGUACCUUGACGGUACCUAACCAGAAAGCCACGGCUAACUACGUG